UACGUAGGGGGGCAAGCGUUGUCCGGAAUCAUUGGGCGUAAAGCGCGUGUAGGCGGCUUGAUAAGUCUGCUCUGAAAGCCUGGGGCUCAACCCUGGGAGGCGGGUGGAUACUGUCGAGCUCGAGUCCGGAAGAGGCGAGUGGAAUUCCUGGUGUAGCGGUGAAAUGCGCAGAUAUCAGGAGGAACACCAAUGGCGAAGGCAGAUCUCUGGGCAUUAACUGACGCUGAGGAGCGAAAGCAUGGGGAGCGAACAGG
rnacentral:rRNA from 1 species